ACCGGUGCGAAAUCAUAUUUUCCCCACUGGUUCAAACCGGUUUGAAAUUUAAAACAAAAAAACGGGCUGCGUGUUCUUCCUUUCUUUCUUCUUCUUUCUUUCUUUCCCCCUACUUUUCCAUCUCCUGUUUUCCUCUCAUUUUUGCCUUCUCUUCAACCGUCUCGAAUUUCCCCUCCAUUGAAGCAGCACCUCCUUCUCUCUUCAUUGAAGCAGCACCUCCUUCUCUCUCCAUUGAAGUUAUUUACAAGCUCUCUCACUCCAUUGAAGCAGCACCUCAAUCUCUCUCCAUAUCUCUGGCCUCCAUGAUUGCGAAUGAACUCGUUGUGCUCUAUAUUCUCCAUUGAAGCCAAUUCUGAGCUUUCUCACCUCCAUUGAAGCAGCUUCGAGUAAUUUUAGGGUUGUGGUAAUCUAGGGUUUGUCAUUGAAGCGCGCACGGCUCUACCUCCACCACAAUGGCCUCCUUAUCACGGCGGCAGGGCCUUCUUUUUCUAGGGUUUAUCGUCAAUUCCCCCCUUUUUCUUUGAUCUUUUUUGUUUGAUAUUUUUUUUUAUUAUUGAAGAUUUCUUGUGUACUGUGUGUGUUAGUGUGUGAUUGCUGUUUGUUUUUGUUUCUUUGAGAUGUACUAGUACAACUGUUAGUGUGUGAUGAAACUUAUAAUAAAUAUUUUUUACUGCUCUUUCACAGCUAGCUGCUAUUCUGCCAUUGGCAAUUGUACAUACCCUGGGUAACCUCUUCACCAACAUGAGUUUGAGUUUUUUAGAAAGAAUUAUAUUGCGAUGAGGAUUCAAUGGUUGGGUAUACGAUUGAGGUUUGAUUUAUUGUUGGAAUUUUUCUGUCUUGCCUUGCUUGUUUGUUGUUAAAUUAUUAGUGAUCAAAUAGGUUGCUGUUAUUUGCUUAAAGGCAUGCUUAUUGUUGGUGAUUUCUAUUUGUUUGGUGAUGUGGCUGCUUCUUGACAGUUGAAUUAUUGGUGAUAAGUUGUUGUAAUACUCUUAAAGGCCUUCUGAUGUGUUACUCUGUCAUAUUUGUCACAUUUUAUGCAGUUGCUUUUUCUGGAUAUUAUGUCUUCGGUAACAAAUCUACUUCUAACAUACUUAAGAGCUUCCUUCCUGAUAGUGGACCAUCUUUGGCUCCAGAUUGGGUUUUAGCACUCGCAGUCAUCUUCAUUCUUCUCCAGCUUUUCGCCAUUGGCUUGACAGUACACUAAAGCUAAUUGCUGGAUGAGCUGAAGGAUACUCUGGACAUGUUGAUGGGAAACAUAGGGAAGCAAGGAUGAACCAUCCUAAAGAAAUGUUGGCUGAGUUAAAUAGGAGGGAAAAGGAGGCUGCUUCUACUUAAGGGUUUGAAGAAGGUUGUUACAGUUCCAGAGGAUAAAGGAACUACUGGAGCUCUUCGUGCUAUUUCACGUUACUUGACUGCCAGCGACAUUUUGGCAUUGAGCAUAGUUUCAGCAAUGUGUAUCCUCGUGGUUCGGGCUAUAAUUGUUCAAAUUGCUUUGUAUUUGUGUGUGACCUUGUAUUUUAUUUUUUUUGGACGAAAAUUGUAAUAUUACGGC